rnacentral:tRNA from 1 species
AAGUAUGUACUAAAGUUAGUUUUGCAAAAACUGAUUAGAAUUAAAUUAAUUCCAUGCUUU